UAUGUGGACUGAAAAAGUGAUUACAUAAAUAACCGUUUCCUUCGCAAAUUCCAAAUAAGUUACCCAAUUAUUCUCUCUUCUCUCUCAUUCUCUUUGUUUUCCAUCUUCACCAAUUCACCAAACCCUAAUCUCAAGCAAUCACCUGUAACUAUUUUCCAUCAUCUCAUUAUUAAUUGUGAAAUUCGCCGAUUCUUCCGAUCCAAAACGGAGUCUUUCGAUCUCUUUUUUCUUGCGAUAUUAAGGAAUCAUGGCUCUCGCCCAGACCUACUUUUCACAGGGUGGCCCUUUUCGUGGAGACUCCAGGUCUUUUUAUGGCAGGAACCAGAGUAGAGGAAUGGUCCAUUCCUCCGCUUACAACAAUUAUAACACUGUUGAUACCCAUUUUUUCAACUCUAAUAGUUCCCAUGACGUGGGUAGAAAUUUUAGCGAGUAUAGCUACGGUUAUGAUAAUCUCAUAAAGCCUGAGGCUGAACCUUCUUCGAAGAGGAGGAGGUGCUCAACUUCUGGUUGGGAAAGCAGUGGCAGGUACUCUCAAGCACCCUAUGCAUGUAAUGAUGUUCCUUCAAAGCGACAAAGCACAUGCUAUAACGUGCCUUUAAGGAAUUCCAGAGCUUAUGAUGAUGCCUAUCCAGUCCGUAACAAUAAUUCUGCCACUACUUCUAAACCUCGUUCUGAUGCAAGCGCACCCACAUGUUCGAAGCGUGACCGCUCAUGGCUUGAAGAUACUGAAACUGAUAAUAUCUUUAUGUCCAAAGAGGAAAUUGAGAAAUGCUCUCCAUCCAGGAAAGAUGGUAUUGAUGCAAUGCAUGAAGCACAUCUUCGAUACUCAUAUUGUGCUUUCCUUCAGAACCUUGGAAUUCGCUUGGACCUGCCACAGACCACUAUAGGAACUGCCAUGGUUCUGUGUCACCGCUUCUUUGUGAGGCGAUCACAUGCAUGUCAUGACAGAUUUUUGAUUGCUACUGCUGCUCUCUUUCUUGCGGCAAAAUCAGAAGAGACUGCACGGCCUCUCAACAAUGUUCUGAAGGCCUCAUGUGAAAUUUUUCACAAGCAGGAUCUUGCAGUUCUUUCAUAUUUUCUACCCGUGGACUGGUUUGAGCAGUACCGUGAACGCAUUACUGAGGCUGAACAGAUGAUAUUGACCACUCUAAAUUUUGAACUGACUGUCCAACAUCCAUAUGAAUCUCUUACGUCCACCCUUGAAAAAUUAGGGCUCUCUGAAACGGUGUUGGUGAAUCUGGCACUACAUCUUGUCAGUGAAGGGGUCUAUAGAAGGAUUAGCUUGCUCUCCUGUAUGAUAUUUGCUGGCGGUUGAUAUGCUGUACAUCAAAUGUUUUGUUUUACAGUCUGAAGUUAAAACUAGCCACUUCUUGUGGAUGCUUUUCCAUGCCGACAUCUUAGUAGUAUGGCCAUUGACCUAGAAGAAUGUCAAAGAUGCUCCAGAAGUCUGCUAUAUGAUACUUUAUGUUUUUCAUGUUCAAAUGAUGUGGAGUCCUCAUGCACUUACUUUCUUCAUGUAGCCUAUUCCACAGGUUGUCCGCGUAGGAUGCUAGUGAUUUGGACCGGGAACUCUUUAAGGGUUGGUGGUGUUUUUUCGACACCCCAAUGGUGGGUAUGGGUAGUCCAGGUUCUGAACUGGUCAAUACAGGUUUUAGAAGUACUCUUCUUGUUGGAACAAAGAAACUAUUCCUUAAGCAUGGUAUAAAAAAGAGUAACAUCUUGAAGGUAUAGUAACCUUUGUGGCAGAGCAGGACUGAACAGACUACUGUUUUCCCAAAUUAUGGUGCCUCUGUUUUUAGUAAUUUUGGUACCAUUUCUUCUUUACUCCUCGACAGCAUGUAAUUACCCGACCCCUAUUAAUGAAGUGUGCCAUGAUCUGGGGCUUGCUGUUUUGGUUCCCAGACUCUAUUAGCUGCUCCCAAUCCUUCCUUUUUGAAUAGAAGAAGAAGAAAUUACCAGAAGUUUUUCCUACUUCUCUUCUUGAUUAUGUUGAUCUUUUUUCCUUCAGCUACUAGUCCCAUGCUGAAUCCAGCUUUUCGAGUUCUUCUGGUAGGAUAAUAUUCAUUGUCCAACUGACAGAUGUAUUGACAUUUAGACCUGCAUCUGAGUAGGCGCUGCUCUAUUCCCUUACAAUUAGGGUCAAUUGAAUAAUGAGGCUUGAUUUCUAUCUUUUCCCUGGUUCUGUUCUUCUUGAUCUCUGAAAAGACAUUAGACUAUGCAUUAUUUUCCAUUUGGACACGUGACUAACUCCGAUGGACAAGCUUGGUUUGUGUCGACGGAGCACAUGUUGGAGGACCUAAUCUCCCUCCUCUUCCAUGCCUUGCUGCUGUAUGCUAGCGCCAGCUAUUGGUAGUCUGUCUCUAUGUGCUAGGUUACUGCACUUAAGUGGCAAUGAUUCGUACCUGGGAGUCAAUUAGUGGUGUUAAAUGCUAGUAUUUUAGCUCUUCUGGUUGCUUGAUGGAACUCUAAAUUGGAAGUCCUCCUAUAAAAAAGUACACAUACACCGGCUCGGAUCCCCUCUACAGCAUUUUAAUUCUCAAAAAAAAAGUAUACUUGUACUGGCAAAGAUGGUUGACAAAAUUGCCGAGGUCAAGUAGUAUUAUUGAAAGGAAGUGUUACUGCAGUUUUACUCAACUACUUGGUAACUUAAAAUCAAUGUCCCAAGUUUUAUUUUAUUAUAUAUACCCGCAACACACAACAAAAGAAGUCACUAUAUUACUUAUAUAAGGUAAUUGAUAUUUAUAUAUAUAUUAUAUUACUUUUUUUUCUUGGUUUCAAGUUUGUUGUUCAGAGCAGAGACAUUCUCUUAAGGUUCUUAUGGCAAGGCCUUGUAAUGCAUAGAGAAAAUUGCCGUGGUGAGGUGGAGCUCUAAUGUGUAAAAUUUACUCAUUAAAUAUUUUGCACCUCUUUACUAUCUAAUAUAUGUACCUACCAAUUUUUUUUUAAUUAAGUGUGAGCACCAUAGUGGCUAGAAAGCAUUUUUUAUGCUUAUCAAUCUUUGCGGGUGAAGAUUCUUACAAAUCUAUAUACACUCCCUCCCUAUAUGUAAUACUACACACACACACAUACUUCCUAAAAAAAACUACAUAGGUAUAAGGUGCACAACACACACAUAUAUACACUCCCUUAUAUACAGUCCCUCCCUAUAUGUAAUACUACACACACACAUAUACUUCAUAAAAAAAAAACUACAUAGGUAUAAGGUGCACAACACGUGUUAUAGUGUUAUUCCCAAUGAGGAGCCCUCACUCCUCGCGCUGUCUUAUCCUUUUGGUUUGGUUAGUGGAUUGGGUAGCAUAUUUUCCAAAGAUUGUAGGAUGGCGUGUAGCCAGAGAAGUUCACUUGGGAAAAAUGUUCUACUUAUUGGUAAAUAUCGUAGUUGUACUGGACAUGUUAGUGUCUUCCUAACAUCGAGCAGUGGUUAGCCUUAAUUGUCGGUUCUGUUUGGGUAAGGAAUGGUGGAGUCCCAUUUCUGGGCAAUUUUGUUAGUUUGUGCAUGGUGGAUAUGGUAGGAAAUUAUUUAUAUGUACUACAGUACGAGUGAAACUAGAAGUGAGGGCCAGAGCUGGCAAGUCCACAAGUUCCAUUGUUGUUUAUUUGUGGAUCAUAGUGAAAAAGGAACGCAACAGUUGUUGCUUCUUCUGUCUUUCUAUUUUGGUAUAUGAGGUGCAUAUAUUUUGGGGUAAUGCUGCUGCAGCGGAGCUGGGACUAUGUGUUGGUGCUCUCUAUAUGGUACAACAUGUUUGUUAUAUAUUUCAUUCUCUCUCAACACUGUGCAGAAGAACUCGGUUGCUGCUUUCGUAGUUGGCUCCGAAGUUCACUCUGGCUGCAGUUCAAGCCUUAUCAGAUUGCUGCUGGGGCUGCAUAUCUUGCAUCAAAAUUUCUGAACAUGGAUUUUGCUUCGCAUCAUUCUGUCUGGAAAGAGUUUCAAACAUCACCAAAUGUACUAAGAGAUGUUGCACAACAGUUGAUGGAGCUCUUUUAGGAGAUGACGAGAGACAGCAGUAACAUCAGACUCAAAAAUGACUAUAUCAACGUUUUUUCAGUCUUGGCUUGGUAGAUGUAUUUGUAGAUUCUACCAUCAUGCAUAGGAUUAAUUUGGGGAUCAAUUCCGUAUAUAGGUUGGUGGUGGAAUUUUUUAGUUUGAAAUUAUCUGUGGAGGAGUGCCUGUUCAUCUAAUUGAUCAUAUAGUUAAAGAAAUUCAUGCUCUGUGUAAAUUGUUUCUUCUUCAACUGUUAAAGUGUCCCUUAAUUAUUGAAUCUGAUUUUUGGAACAUCAGCCUUUAAUGGUAUUCUUGUUUUAGAAUUACGAG